GAUGAACGCUGGCGGCGUGCCUAACACAUGCAAGUCGAGCGAUUCUCUUCGGAGAAGAGCGGCGGACGGGUGAGUAACGCGUGGGUAACCUGCCCUGUACACACGGAUAACAUACCGAAAGGUAUGCUAAUACGGGAUAAUAUGCUUUGAUCGCAUGGUCGAAAUAUCAAAGCUCCGGCGGUACAGGAUGGACCCGCGUCUGAUUAGCUAGUUGGUGAGGUAAUGGCUUACCAAGGCGACGAUCAGUAGCCGACCUGAGAGGGUGAUCGGCCACAUUGGAACUGAGACACGGUCCAAACUCCUACGGGAGGCAGCAGUGGGGAAUAUUGCACAAUGGGUGAAAGCCUGAUGCAGCAACGCCGCGUGAGCGAUGAAGGCCUUCGGGUCGUAAAGCUCUGUCCUCAAGGAAGAUAAUGACGGUACUUGAGGAGGAAGCCCCGGCUAACUACGUGCCAGCAGCCGCGGUAA
rnacentral:rRNA from 1 species